UACGUAGGGGGCAAGCGUUGCCCGGAUUUAUUGGGCGUAAAGAGCGUGUAGGCGGCCUUACAGGUCAGCUGUGAAAACUCGAGGCUCAACCUCGAGACGUCGGUUGAAACCGUAAGGCUAGAGUCCGGAAGAGGAGAGUGGAAUUCCCGGUGUAGCGGUGAAAUGCGCAGAUAUCAGGAAGAACACCCGUGGCUAAGGCGGCUCUCUAGUACGGUACUGACGCUGAGACGCGAAAGCGUGGGGAGCGAACAGG
rnacentral:rRNA from 1 species